CACAAUUGGAGGUAAAUUCACAGAAAGUCUUAAGGCGUUGAGCAGUUUAGUUUUCUGGUAAAAAAAAUGAAACAUGAGAGAAAAUUAGUGAAUGUAAAAUUUAGCUAGGCUGGCUUGGGUUUUAUUUGUCCAAACACAACUUUGCAAAAAACAACUCAGCACUCGCAAGAGAAAGUGUGAGGUGGCUGUGGAAGGAAUCAAAUUAAAACUUUAAAGCUUUGUAAAUAAUUGAAAAAAGUAUGCUUUCUAACAAGAAGAUUUUAGGUUUAAUUUAAACCUAAAGAAUGUUCUGUGCCUUAUGUUUCAUUCCGACAAUGAAAUAUUUCUGUGUAGACUUUAUUUUAGGUUCAAAGAUGAAGUAGUCUAAAUUUAAAGGGGGCCAGGGGAACCUGUUGGCAAAAUUUCCCAAAAAUAAUCCCAUGGAUCGAAACUUUGAACAGGCUCAACCAUUAGAAUGUUAAGCCUAUUUAAUGGUAAAAUUGGUGAAUUCCACCUCCUUUUUUUGCAGAAGUUCAGUGCACCAAUGAAACAGAAGAAUUCCUAAUCGAACUCAUCAGUCAGCUUGCCGCAAAAUUACGAACAGCUGCAGCAUGUGUACAGAUCAAGUGCAUCAGAUUCUCUCAUUUUGAUAUAGAUGAUGCUUUACUUAACAAACAUUGGAGUUUACAACACUUCCUGGACUCAGUUUAGAUGGUAAUACAAAGUACCAAAAAAUUAGAGAUACUAUAUCUCCUACGCUAGUCAAUUUGCAAUCAGAAGAAACAUCCACGUAAGCUGACUUUUCAAAUGGAAAAGAAAGAAGAGAAGUGCAAGAGAAUCAGAAGAAACUUGUGCAAGAGUCAGUCCACUACCAAAGGUACGAUUUAUUCCUCUUUUAUGCUCUCUUUUUUGUCCGUGGUAUCCAGUUAAUUUACCUAUUUAGGAAAGAUGAUUUAUUGUGUUUUUUACACUCUCAGAAUUUGAAGAAUGAUUUUUCUUUAGCUACUUUUUUAUAACUUAUUUCCUCUAGUUAGGUUUCAUGUUGCAAGAA
rnacentral:lncRNA from 1 species